GGGGGUAUAACUCAGUGGUAGAGCACAUGCUUAGUUAGCAUGCAUGAGGUCCUGGGUUCAGUCCCCAGCACCUCCA
rnacentral:tRNA from 1 species